rnacentral:rRNA from 1 species
CUUUACUGUAGCCUGGUAUUGGGUUCGGGCUUUGACUGCGCAGGAUAGGUGGGAGACUGAGAAGUGUGCCUUGUGGGGCACAUAGAGUCAACGGUGAGAUACCACUCUGUCAGAGCUAGAAUUCUGACCUUCACCCGUGAUCCGGGGAAGGAACCGUAUCAGGUGGGCAGUUUGACUGGGGCGGUUGCCUCCUAAAAGGUAACGGAGGCGCGCAAAGGUGUUCUCAGGCUGGUUGGAAAUCAGCCGUAGAGUGUAAAGGCAGAAGAACGCUUGACUGUGAGAGUGACAACUCGAGCAGGGUGGAAACACGGCCUUAGUGAUCCGACGGUAUGCGCGUGGAAGUGCCGUCGCUCAACGGAUAAAAGUUA